AGAGUUUGAUCCUGGCUCAGGAUGAACGCUGGCGGCGUGCCUAAUACAUGCAAGUCGAGCGUGCCAUGGUUACGACCGUGGCAAGCGGCGAACGGGUGAGUAACACGUAGGUGAUCUGCCCCAAAGACCGGGACAACGGCUGGAAACGGCCGCUAAUACCGGAUAGGAGAUAUUUAAAGGUGCUUUCGGGCACCGCUUUGGGAUGAGCCUGCGGCGCAUUAGCUGGUUGGUAGGGUAAUGGCCUACCAAGGCGACGAUGCGUAGCCGGCCUGAGAGGGUGAACGGCCACACUGGGACUGAGACACGGCCCAGACUCCUACGGGAGGCAGCAGUAGGGAAUCUUCGGCAAUGGGCGAGAGCCUGACCGAGCAACGCCGCGUGAACGAAGAAGGCCUUCGGGUUGUAAAGUUCUUUUACCGGGGAAGAAUGUAGUGCAUAGGAAAUGAUGCGCUAGUGACGGUACCCGGGGAAUCAGCCACGGCUAACUACGUGCCAGCAGCCGCGGUAAUACGUAGGGCGCAAGCGUUGUCCGGAAUUAUUGGGCGUAAAGAGCUCGUAGGCGGUCUGUCGCGUCUGGCGUGAAAACACAAGGCUCAACUUUGUGCUUGCGUCGGGUACGGGCGGACUUGAAUGUUGUAGGGGAGACUGGAAUUCCUGGUGUAGCGGUGGAAUGCGCAGAUAUCAGGAGGAACACCAAUGGCGAAGGCAGGUCUCUGGGCAAUUAUUGACGCUGAGGAGCGAAAGCAUGGGGAGCGAACAGGAUUAGAUACCCUGGUAGUCCAUGCCGUAAACGUUGGGCACUAGUUGUGGGGACCAUUCCACGGUUUCCGUGACGCAGCUAACGCAUUAAGUGCCCCGCCUGGGGAGUACGGUCGCAAGACUAAAACUCAAAGGAAUUGACGGGGGCCCGCACAAGCGGCGGAGCAUGCGGAUUAAUUCGAUGCAACGCGAAGAACCUUACCAAGGCUUGACAUACACCGGAAACUUCCAGAGAUGGUUGCCCCUUCGGGUCGGUGUACAGGUGGUGCAUGGUUGUCGUCAGCUCGUGUCGUGAGAUGUUGGGUUAAGUCCCGCAACGAGCGCAACCCUUGUCUCAUGUUGCCAGCAAUUCGGUUGGGGACUCAUGGGAGACUGCCGGGGUCAACUCGGAGGAAGGUGGGGAUGACGUCAAAUCAUCAUGCCCCUUAUGUCUUGGGCUUCACGCAUGCUACAAUGGCCGGUACAACGGGUUGCGAUACUGUAAGGUGGAGCGAAUCCCUAAAAGCCGGUCUCAGUUCGGAUUGGGGUCUGCAACUCGACCCCAUGAAGUCGGAGUCGCUAGUAAUCGCAGAUCAGCAACGCUGCGGUGAAUACGUUCCCGGGCCUUGUACACACCGCCCGUCAAGUCACGAAAGUUGGUAACACCCGAAGCCCGCGGCCUAACCUUUUGGGGGGAGCGGUCGAAGGUGGGACUGGCGAUUGGGACUAAGUCGUAACAAGGUAGCCGUACCGGAAGGUGCGGCUG
rnacentral:rRNA from 1 species